CCUACGGGAGGCAGCAGUGAGGAAUAUUGGUCAAUGGGCGCAAGCCUGAACCAGCCAAGUAGCGUGAAGGAUGACUGCCCUACGGGUUGUAAACUUCUUUUAUAAAGGAAUAAAGUGAGGCACGUGUGCCUUUUUGUAUGUACUUUAUGAAUAAGGAUCGGCUAACUCCGUGCCAGCAGCCGCGGUAAUACGGAGGAUCCGAGCGUUAUCCGGAUUUAUUGGGUUUAAAGGGAGCGUAGGUGGAUUGUUAAGUCAGUGGUGAAAGUUUGCGGCUCAACCGUAAAAUUGCAGUUGAAACUGGCAGGCUUGAGUACAGUAGAGGUGGGCGGAAUUCGUGGUGUAGCGGUGAAAUGCUUAGAUAUCACGAAGAACUCCGAUUGCGAAGGCAGCUCAC
rnacentral:rRNA from 1 species